rnacentral:lncRNA from 1 species
GGCCUAGACGGGUCAAGGCGGCCCCUUGGCUACCCUAGGCGAGUUAAGGAGGGCCUAGGAGGGUCAAGACGGCCCCUAUACGGGUCUAGGACGGUCAUGGCGACCCUUUGGUGAGUCAUGGCGGCCCCUUGGUAGCCCUAGGCGAGCUAGCAGGGCCUAGGAACGUCAAGGCGGGUCUAGGAGGGUUAAGGCAGCCCCUUGGUGGCCUUAGACGGGUGAACGCGGCCCCUUAGCGGCCUUAGAUGUGUGAACACGGCCUCUUGGCGGCCCUAGCGGGGUCAAGGCGGCCUCUUGAUGGCCCAAGGCGGGUUAAGGCGGUCCAAGGCGUCUUGGCGGCCCAAGGCGGUCCAAGACGUCUUUGCGGCUCUAAGCGGGUCAAGAUGGCACUAGGCGGGUCAAGGCGGCCGCUUGGCGGGCCUAGGCAGGUCAAGGGGGCCCCUUAGCGGGUCUAGGCAGCCCCUUAACGACUUUAGACGGGUGAACACAGCCUCUUGGCGGCCCUAAGAGGGUCAAGGCGGCCUAAGGCGGGUUAAGACGAGCCAUGACGGGUCAAUGCGGCCCCUUCGUGGCCCUAAACGGGUUAAGGCGACCCUAGGAGGUCAAGGCGGCCCCUUGGUGGCCUUAGAUAGGUGAAAGCGGCCCCCUUGGCGGCCCUACGCGGCCUCUUGGUGGCUCUAGGAGGGUCAAGGCGGCCCUAGGCGGGUCUAGGUGGCCAUUUGGUGGCCAUAGACGGAUCAAGGCGGCCCCUUGGUGGCCAUAGACGGGUCAAGACGGCCCCUUGGUGGCCCUAGACGGGACUUGGCAGCCACUUGUGAUAAGUCCAUUUUAUGCAACGUUCUUAAUGUAUUUCCGACCCUAUUUAGGUAUGUAAUUCCUUUAACAAUAUUCAUUUUAACUUAGUUUGUGUUUUUAGGUCGCAAAUAAAACCGAGGAGCACAAAAGAAGCAAAAGAGGAGAAAUCUUGAAGGAAAAGGAAUCCAUAUGGCACAAGGAAAGAAAUCAGAAAUCUACCAGGAAUUGUCAGUCAACUUCAACAGAGGAUUGUGAUCAGCUCACAGUGAUUUAGGAGAUGAACUUUAUAUCAACAGAAAGCUAGAAGGGGAUGUUUGGUACCCAGGACUAUGUAACAUGGGCUUAUUUUUUAUAAGAGUCCUAGCUUCCUCAAGCCCCACUUAAAUCUUAAUAAAACCUGUCCCGUGUUUGGUGUUGUGCUAGACUGGAGAAGAAUGAAAUGUUUUUACAGAAGAACGAUGGCCUACGCAGAGAUCCAAACCCAGAACUCCGUCGUGAGAUCACCACCGGCCAUCACACAUAUCCAAUUUCAUCAGUCUCGCAUUCACCGACGUUCGUCUAGUCUUGAUCGAUCAUUAUGGAGAGAGAAUCAAACGCCGAAAAUCUAGCGAUCUCCGGCAAUACUCAACAAGAUCCGGCGGCUCAGGCGAUGUUUUAAGGUGCAUGAGGUAUGAAAUUUGAUGUAUUCAUCGUACUCUACAUGCAUGCUAGUAUCCAUGGUUUUUGAAUUCGAUUAUGAUUUGGGAGAAUUCGUCUUUGGGUUUUUCAGCCACCAUGGGUUCAACUGUUUACGGCUGUGCUUUUUGGGUUCGUCUGAUUCAGGUUCAAUUUUGUAUUUCGGGGCUUGUGUUAAGUUUCAAAAUUGCUGAAAGGUGUUGGGUAGAAGAUGUGGUGUUGGGUCCUGGUAAUAAGGAAUUUUGGAGAUUUUAGAAAACUCGAGUUUCAGAAGCUCGAAUUCCGGCUUGGGGAGGUCGGAGCUGAGAGGUUAAAGAUGCCGUUGAGCUGCGGCCAUUCAUUGCUCUGAGACUCUGAGGCUUUAGAAGAUGCGAAGUUAGCUCGAGAAAACAAAAGCUUCCAUAGUCCCAUGGUUUUUGGGCUGUCUAUGGAAGAAGGUCUAAAAGAGAAUUUGGGACUCUGUAUGCUCAUUUAAGAGAGUCCCUUUUGUUGCCAAACGUGGGAUUUCAGGGCUUAGACUAUGGAAGACAGUCCAGUCCAGUCCAAUCCCAUGUAACAAACGUGCACGAAGAGUCUAGUUUCCAGAACUUUUCGUGGAUCAUCAAUAGCUAUUUUGGAGAAGAAGUUAUGACCGUUUGAGUGACCGAAGGUCAGUCUGCCCGAAUUUCUGAUUUGGACCGAAAGUUUAAUUUCAAGGCCCAGACCACAUAGGCAAGCCCAUGGAUGACAAUUAGGGUUCUCUAACCCUAAUAACAGCUGCUCAUACAUAUAGGAGAAGUGGGAGACGCAAAAGAGAUCUCUUCUUGUACAUGAAAUUCAAUCCUCUCUGCCGUAGCUCUGCCUCUCCAAGGAUCUCUCCCAAUUCAGAAAAUCAUCCUCCUUGCCAUGCUCUAGGACUUCUCCAAAAGCAUAGCGUUACUCUUCUUUGUGCCGAGACUAUCCCUUGUUGUUCUUCAAGUGUUCUUGAGAUCAAAAAGUGUAAUCUAUGGUUCAAACUCUUGUUUUUAGGUUUUAUAUUUGUUAUUGUCGAAUUCCCUUAGAUGAUUUUAUGCAUUGGAGUUGGACUUUUAUUGAGAUUUAGUUAUUGCAUGAAAUUUUCAAAUUUAUAUGAUUGAGUUAUUCAUGUGUUUAUGACGUUUGUUUAACUUAGAUCAUGCCUACUAUUGUGUUAGAAAGUCUAUGAUUCCGGUUUAAUUCAAUAUGCUAAUUCGGCCAAGUUAGCAAAACCAUAAUUUAUGCUAGGCCUCUUCCGGUAAGUGUAGAUUAACAAGUGGUAAAAGUUGGGAUUCAUGUGAUAUGAGUUUCGAUUAAGAACAUAGAUUGCAUGUUAGGUUGUUAAGCCUCUUCCGGUAAACAAAUCUAAUAUGUUCGAGUUCAUCUUAGGCGGGCCAAGGCGGGUUUAUAUGGGUUAAGGCGGACCAAGGCGAGCCAAGGCGGCCCCUUAGCGACUCUAGGCGGGUAAAGUUAGCCCCUUGGUGGCCCUAAGCGGGUCAAGGCGCCCAUUGCCGACCUUAGGAGAGCCAAGGCGGGUCAAGGAGGGCCUACGCAAGUCAAGGCGGUCCUACACGAGUCAAGGCGGCCCAUUGCCUGCCCAAAACGGGCCUAGGAGGGUCAAGGCGACCCCUUGGCGAGUCAUGAUGGCCCCUAGGAGUGUCAAGGCGGCCCUAGGCGGGUCUAGGAGGGUCAAGGUAUCCAUUUGGCGAGUCAAGGCGUCCCCUUAGCUCCCUUAGAUGGGUCAAGGCGGCCCUAGGCGGGUCGAGGUGGUUCAAGGCCUCUCCUUGAUGGCCUUAGCGGGUUAAGGCGGGUCAAUGUGAACCAAGGCGGCCCAAGGUGGGCUCUAAGCGGCUGCUUGGCUACCCUAGGCAGGUAAGGGCGGGUCAAGGCGGCCCUUUGGCUACCCUAAGCGAGCCAAGGAGGGCCUAAGAGGGUCAACAUGGGUCAAGGCGGCCCUACACAGGCCUAGGAGGGUCAUGGUGAGUCAUUGUGGCCCAUUGGUGGCCCUAGGCGAGCCUAGGAAGGCCUAGGAGGAUUAAGGCGACCCUAAGCAAGUCAAAGAGGGUCAAGGCGGCCCUUUGGUGGCCUUCGACGGGUGACUGUGGCCACUUAGCGGCCCUAGCGUGGUCAAGACUAUCCCUUGGUGGCCCUAGAUUGGUUAAGCCGGCCUCUUGGCGACGUUAGGCGGGUUAAGGCGGAGUCUUGGCGGCCCUUGGUUGCCCUAGGCGGGUCAAGGCGGCCCUAAGAGGGUUAAGGCGACCUUUUGGCGGCCCUAGCCGGGUCAUGGCGGCCCUAGAUAGGUCAAGGUGCCCAUGGCGGCCUUAUGAGGGUUAAGGCAGGCCAUGGCGGCCCAUGAAGGACUAAGGCGGCCUAAGACGGGUUAAAACGGCCGAUUGGCGGCCCUAGGCAGGUCAAGGCGGCCCCUAAACGGGUCUAGGAGUGUCAUGGCGGCCCCUUGGUGGCCCUAGGCGAGCCUUGGAGGGCCUAGGAAGGUCUUGGCGGCCUUAGGCGGGUCUAGGAUGGUUAAGGCGGCCCCUUGGCGGCCUUAGCCGUGUGAAUGCAACCUCUUAGAGGGCCUAGUGGGGUCAAGACGUCCCCUUAGUUGCCCUAGAAGGGUUAAGGCGGCCUCUUGGCGGCCAAUACGGGUCAAGGCGGCCGCUUGGCGGCAUUAGGUUGUUCAAGGCAGCCUCUUGGCGGCCCUUUAGCUACCCUAGGCGAGCUUAGGAGGGUGAAGGCGGCAUUCGACGGGCCUAAGAGAAUCAUGGCGGUCCCUUGGUGGCCCUAGGUGAGCAUAGGAGGGCCUAGGAGGGUCAAGGCGGCCUCGUGGCAGCCUUAGACGGGUGCACGUGGCCUCUUGGAUCCCCUAGCGGUGUCAAGACGGCCCCUUGGUGGCCCUAGACGGGUCAAGGUGGGUCAAGACGGCUUCUUGGCGGCCCUACUCAAGUUAAGGUGGGUUAAGACGGCCCCUUGGCUACCUUAGGCGAGCCUAGGAGGGCCUAGGAGGUCAUGGCGGCCCAAGGCAGGUUAAGGCGGCUCUACACAGGUCAAGGCGGUUCUACGCGGGUCAAAGUAGGACAAGGCGGGCCUAGGAGGGCAUGGCGGCCCCUUGGCUGCACUAGGCGUGUCUAUAUGGGCCUAGGAGGGUCCAGGUAGCCCAAGGCAAGUUAAGGCGGCUCUAGAUGAGCCUAAGAGGGUCAUGGCGGUGAUAAGUGCGUUUUUACGCCAUGAUCUUAAUGGAUUUUCACCCCCAUUUACACUUUGUUUGUGCCUUAGUAUGUUUGUUUUUACUUAUUUUAGAGUCAAGAGGGUUUUUCUGUAGAGUUGUGACUACUAGUCGUUUUUAUACAGAAAAUUGCACUUAAAUGAUGAAAACCGUUUUUGGACUAUCACUUGGACGUUUUACCGUGAUUCGUUAUUGGGUUACCUUGUCAGUUUUGAUGUAUCUUGUUUAAAUGUGCAGAAGACAGGUACAUGAACGUUACGUAUCAAGAAUCAUGGUGAAUGGACUCAUGAAUGACAACAAGUGAGGCCACGGAAGAGGAAGGAACACUUCUAGACAUUGUUUUUGGUCUUGGACAGAAUCUGCCAGAAAACGUACAUCUACUUCGGAAAAUCAUAUCUCGAGAUCUAGGAGGAGUUAGAAGGCGUGCCACAUAUGGACUUAAAGCUGUGUGUGUCUAGUUUUCAACCUCACUUGGAUCGCAGCAAUCGGAGUUGAGACGAAGGAGUUAUGAUCAAAACAGUGGACAGAGGUCAGGCUGCAAAACUGGGCAGAAACUGCCUUAGUUGUCAAACGAGUUUUGGGAGAUGAUUCUUCAACAAAAGGGCUUCCCAAAUUUGACAAGAGGUGUAUCAAGAGCCUAAUGUAGUGUUGGGAAGCUGAACAAAAGGAGAAAGUUCGAAGAAGCAUCAAGGCAGCCUUGUUUNNNNNNNNNNNNNNNNNNNNNNNNNNNNNNNNNNNNNNNNNNNNNNNNNNNNNNNNNNNNNNNNNNNNNNNNNNNNNNNNNNNNNNNNNNNNNNNNNNNNNNNNNNNNNNNNNNNNNNNNNNNNNNNNNNNNNNNNNNNNNNNNNNNNNNNNNNNNNNNNNNNNNNNNNNNNNNNNNNNNNNNNNNNNNNNNNNNNNNNNNNNNNNNNNNNNNNNNNNNNNNNNNNNNNNNNNNNNNNNNNNNNNNNNNNNNNNNNNNNNNNNNNNNNNNNNNNNNNNNNNNNNNNNNNNNNNNNNNNNNNNNNNNNNNNNNNNNNNNNNNNNNNNNNNNNNNNNNNNNNNNNNNNNNNNNNNNNNNNNNNNNNNNNNNNNNNNNNNNNNNNNNNNNNNNNNNNNNNNNNNNNNNNNNNNNNNNNNNNNNNNNNNNNNNNNNNNNNNNNNNNNNNNNNNNNNNNNNNNNNNNNNNNNNNNNNNNNNNNNNNNNNNNNNNNNNNNNNNACACAGCAAACACAAGCACAGCCGAACCAUUCCUUGCCUCCACUGUAAUCUUCCACCAAUUUCCCUUUCAACCUUGCCGAACCUUAUAGGUAGGUUAAGGAUGAAGACAUCCAUGGUUUUAUGUUUGUAAUUACUGUGUAAGAACUUUGAGUUUAUUGAUAAAUAUUUUCUGGUUUUGGGUUUUAUAUGAUAUGUGUGAUUGUAUGAUCUUCUUUGUGACUUGAUUAUGAUUGUACAUGUUGUGUAACGGUUUAGUAUGCAUGUUAGGAUUAUUAAAGAAGUAAAGAAUCUGUGUUUAUGUGUUUAGUAAUUGUUAGGUUAAUUAAUCCUCACCUGAUCACGUAAUCGAACCCUAGGUCAAUUCAAAGUACACGAGUUAGCCAUUAGGGGGGAGUUUAAUAUGCCGUGGUAUUUUAGGUCGAGUUGAGCGCAAAGACAACUCGGUUCUAGGUGCUGCAUAGGGUAGGCAGGGUGAGUGAUUUGCAUGGGUUCGAGGAUGGGUGAUGCCAUUGCUAACGAGCAUGUCUCCAACGACUCGUGGACGGUAAGUGUUGCUUGAUUAGAUUGAGCGCAAAGACAAUUUAGUUAAGUAGUCACAUAGUUUUUGGUUGAGCGCAAAGACAACCUUAAACACAUGAGAAGUCUUAAGGGUUGGAAUUAACUUGCAAUUGUGAAAACAUAGAUAAGAUAAUACUUGCAUGCUAAUCGGAAUUUAUUUGUGAAGUGCUUACAACGUUGAAGUGACCAAACUUUGUAAUUAUUUGCCUUUGUUUUAUUUUCUUUGUUUUCUGCCGAUUUCAAUCCCCCAUUUUAUUCUUUAUGUAUAUAUUGUGUGAAUAUUUCUAAUGACUUUGUUUUGCAGAAUAAAUUCUUCCCUAGUGUCCCCGGCUAGAACGAUACCCUACUUACAUGUACUACAACUAUAGGGUUUUAAAUUGCACUAACGUCAUCUUUUGACAGGUCAGGCGGCCUCUUGGCGAGUCAUGGCUACCCCUUGGUGGCCCUAGGAGAGCCUUGAAGGGUCUGGGAGGGUCAAACUAGCCCCUUGGCGGGUCAAGGCUGUCCCUUGGCAGCCCUAGACUGGCAUAGGAGGGUCAUGGCGACCCCUUGGCGGCCUUAGACCGGUGAACAAGGCCCUUUAAUGGGCCUAGACGGGUGAACACGGCCCCUUGGCGGCCCUAGCCGGGUUAAGGCAGCCUCUUGGCGGCCCUAGAUGGGUUAAGCCGGCCUUAAGGGGUUAAGGUGGGCAAUGGCGGGUCAAUGCGGCCCCUUGGUGGCCCUAGACGGGUCAAGGCAGCCCUAGGCGGGUUAAGGCGGCCCCUUAGUGGCCUUAGAUAGGUGAAGGUGGCCUUGGCGGCCCUAGUUGGGGCAGCCUCUUGGAGGCCCUAAACAUGUCAAGGCAGCACUAGGCUGAUCAAGGGGGCCCUUUGGUGGCUAUAGACAGGUCAAGGUGGCCCAUUCGCAGCUUUAGGCGGGUCAAGACAGCCCCUUGGUGGCCCUAGAUGGGAUAUGACAGCCCCUUGGCAGGUCAAAUCGACCUUAGUUGGGUCAUGGCGCCUUAUGGCGGCCAUAGGUGGGUGAACGCGACCCCUUAGUGGCCCUAGUCGGGUUAAAGCGGCCUUAUGGCGGCCUUAGGUGGGUCAUGGCGCCCCUUUGGUUGCACUAGGUGUGCCUAGCAGGGUUGAGGAGGGUCAAGGUGGCCCAUUGGCGAACCUAGGCGGGUCAAGGCAGUCUCCUGGAGGCCCUAAACAGGUCAAGGCAGCCCUAAGCGGGUCAAGGCGGCCCCUUGGUGGCCAUAAACGGGUCAAGGCCGCCCAUUCGCGGCUUUAGGCGGGUCAAGACGGCCCCAUGGUGGCCCAAGACCGGACUUGGCAGCCUCUUGGCAAGUCAAGGCGGCCCUAGUUGGGUUUUGGCAAGCCAUAGGCGAGUGAACGCGGCCCCUUGGUGGCCUUAGUUGAGUUAAGGCGGCCUUUUAGUGGCCUUAGGUGGGUCAUGGCGCCCCCUUGGUUGCACUAGCUGUGCCUAGCAGGGUCGAGGAGGGUCAAGGCGGCCCCUUGACGACUCUAGACGGGUCAAGCUGGCCCCAUAGCGACUCUAGACGGGUCAAGGCGGCCGCUUAGCGGCCCUAGGCAGGUCUAGACGGCCCCUUGGCAGCCUUAAGUGGGUCAUGGCGCCCUCUAGGUGUGCCUAGCAGGGCCAAGGAGGGUCAACGCAGCCCAAGGCGGGUCAAGGCGACCCUAGACGGGCCUAGAAGGGUCAUGGCGACCCCAUUGGCAUGUCAUGACGGCCCCUAGGCGGGUCUAGAAGGGUCAAGGCGGCCCUAGGCGGGCCUACGAGGGUUAAGACGACCCAAGCUGGGUCAAGGCGGCCUUAGACGGGCCUAGAAGGGUCAUGGCGACCCCUUGGCGAGUCAUGGUGGCCCUAGGCGAGUCUUGGAGGGUCAAGGCGGCCCUAGACGGGUCUAGGAGGAUCAAAGCGGCCUAAGCGGGUCUAGCCAGCCUAAGUCGGGCCAAGGCUGGUCAAUGUGGGUUAAGGCGGAACAAGGCAGGCCAAGGCGGCUCCUUAACGACUCUAGGCGGUUAAGGUAGCCCCUUGGUGGCCCUAAGAGGGUCAAGACGACCCUAGGCAUGUCAACGAGGCCCCUUGGCGGCCCUAGGCUGGUCAUGGCGGCCCUACACGAGCCUAUGAGAGUCAUGGCGCGUGAUGGCGGCCUCUUGGUGGCCCUAGGCGAGCCUAAGACGGCGUAGGAGGGUUAAGGCGGCCUUAAGCAUGUCAAAGAGGGUCAAGGCACCCCCUUGGCAGGUUAAGGCGGCCCCUCGGUGGCCUUAGAAUGUGGCCACCUAGCAGCCCUAGCAGGGUCAAUGCGGUCCUUUGGUGGCCUUAAACGGGUCAAGUAGGCCUCUUGGCGACCUUACGAGGGUCAAAGCGGGCCAAGGCGGCCCUAGGCAGGUCAAGAGGGAGUUUUGGCGGCCCUUGGCUGCCCUAGGCGGGUCAAAGUGGCCCCUUGGCUGCCUUAGCCGGGUCAUGGCAGCCCCUUGGUGGCCCUAGAUGGGUUAAGGUGCCCUAUUGGCGGCCUAUGGCGGGUUAAGGCGGGUUAAGGCGGUUGCUUGGCGGCCCUAGGCAGGUCAAGGCGGCUCUAGGAGGUUCAAGGCGGUCCCUUGGUGGCCUUAAACUGGUGAACACGGCCCCUUAGCGGCUCUAGGCGAGCCUAGGAUGGUGUAGGAAGGUCAAAGUGGCCCUAGGUGGGACAAGGCGGCCCCUUGGUGGUCUUAGACUGGUGAACGCAGCCCCUUGGUGGCCCAAGGUGGGUCAAGACGGUCCGAGGUGUCGGGCGGCUCUAGGCAGGUCAUGGCGGCCCUAGGCGGGUCAAGGCGGGUUAAGGCGGGUCAAAGUGGUCCAAGGCGGCUCUAGGCAAGUCAAGGCGGUCCAAGGCAGCCCAAGGCGGGUUAAGGCGGCCGCUUGGCAGCUCUAGGCAGGUCAAGGCGGUCCAAGCCGGGUUAAGACUGGUCAAGGCGGCCCAAAGUGGGUCAAGACGGCCCUACAUGGGUCAAGGUGGCAGUAUGCGAGCCUAAGACGACCUAGGAGGGUCAAGGCGGCCCCAUGGUGGCCUUAAACAGGUGAGCGAGGGCCCUUGGCGGCUUUAGCGGGGUCAAGGCGGCCCCUUGGUGGCCUUAGGCAGGUCAAGGCGGCCCCUUGGCUAACCUAGAGGGCCUAAGAGGGUCAAGGCGGGUCAAGGCGGCCCUAGACGGGCUUAGGACGGUCAAGGUGACCGCUUGUCGAGUCUUGGCGGCCCUAGGCGGGUCUCGACGGGCCCUACGGAGGUCAAACAGCCUUAUGCGUGUAAAGGUAUCCCCUUGGAAGGUCAAGAUGUCCCCUUAGUGGCCCAAGGCGUGUCAAGGUAGCCCUUUGGCGGCCCUAGGCAUGUUAAGGGGGCCCCUUGGCUGGUCAAAGGGGUCAUCUUGGCCCCUUGGCGGCCUUAGACAGGUGAACGCGGCUCUUUGGCGGCUCUAGAUGGGUCAAAGCGGCCUUUUGGCGUCCAUAUGAGGGUCAAGAUGGCCCCACGGUGGUCUCUUGGUGGCCCCAUGGGGGCCAUAGGAGGGUCAAGGUGGGUUAAGAUGGCCCCACGGCGGGUCAUGGAAGGCCCUAGGAAGGUCAAAACAGCCCUAGGCAUGUAAAGGCAGCCCCUUAGCGGGUCAAGGCGGCUUCUUGAGGCGGGCCAUGGUGGAGUAAGUGGGGGCCAAAACGGGUAAAGGUGGCCCCUUGGUUGCCCUAGAUGGGUCAAUGCGGCCUCAUGACGGCCUAAAGAGGGUUAAGGCUACCGGGCCAUGGCGGGUCAAGGCAGUUGCUUAGCGGCCCUUGGAUGGUCAAGACGGCUCGUUGGCGCCCCCUUGACAACCUUAAGUGUGUCAUGGCACCCCCUUGGUUGCCCUAGGUGUGCCUAACAGGGUCAAGAAGGGACAAAGCCGGUCAAGGCGGCCACUUGGCGGCCCUAGGUAGGUUGAGGCGGGCCUAGGCAGGUCAAGGUGGCCCCUUGGCUGCCCUAGGCGGCUCAAAGCGGCACCUUGGCAGUCCUAGGUAGGUUAAGGCGGCCCUAGGCAGGUUAAGAGAGUCAAGGUGGCCCCUUAGCAACCUUAGACGGGUGAAGGCGACCCCUUGGCCACCCUAGGCGGGUCAAGGAGGCCGUUUAGCGGCCCCAGGAAGGUAAAGAUGGCCCCUCGGCGGCCCUAGGUGGGUCAUGGCGCCCGCCGAGGAGGGUCAAGGCGGGUUAAGGCGGGCUGAAGCGGGUCAAUGCGGGUUAAGGCGGCCAUAGACGGGUCAAAACGGCCCUAGACGGGCCUCGGAGGGUCAUGGUGACCCCUUGGCGAGUCAUGGCUAGGGCUGGGCACGGGACGGGAUGGGCCGGGAUUUAGUGAAUCCUAUCCCGUCCCAAAAAUAAAGGAACAGGAGGGGACGAGACAGGAAGGCAUUUUUUGAAAUUUGUCCCAUAUGUCCCGAUCCCAAACGGGAUCGGGAUCCCGACAAAUUAACCCUAAAACAACAACUGAAAAAUAUCUAAAAUCACACAAGCAAAAAAAAGAAUAUGAAUGAAAUUAAAAGUACUGAAAUCAACAAGAACAUAGGUGCAUAGGUGGUAAAUUACAUCCUAUUGUUAAAGUACUAAACAUCCCACAUUAAAAGUACUGAAUGAACUUGAAAAACUCAAACCAUAAUAUAUCAAACAUCAAUAGGACCAACAGCAGUGCCUUUUCCCUUUUGCUUUUGCUCUUGAAGGUGGAGGUGGACACGCAUUAGCUUUGCUAGUUGUUGUGCUCUCAUGCUCUGCAAAUGUACACAAGUAAAAGAUUAGUCAAGUCAAAGUUAUCAAAGUAAAAGAAAGAAAACAUUAAAACUUGCAAAUGUAUAUACCUAGCUCAACACCUUCAUAGAAUUCAUAGUUUUCAAUUGUGCAAUCAUCUAUAUCCUCUGCAAUAUCAUUACCAAGCAACCAAUUCUGGAUGCAAAUAAGUCCCUCAGCUGUUUUAGGAGUUAAUGAACUCCUAAAACAGUCAACUACUCUGCCCCCAGUUGAGAAAACUGACUCCGAGGCCACUGUGGACACUUGAAUUGAAAGAACAUCCCUAGCUAUUGCUGCCAAAACUGGAUACUUGAAUUGAUUGAGCUUCCACCAUAGUAGGAUGUCAAAGCAAUCUAAAUCAUCGAUGAGCUCCAAUGCAGCUUCCAAAUACUGAUCCACUUCUUGUUUUGCGACUGCCUCUUCAGUUUCUUGAACCACAUUCUUCCAAUUACUGAGCGGAUUGCUCCUUCUGUUAUUGGUGCUUCUAUUACUGCUAACAGUGCUUGAAGAACUUGGAGAUGGCUCCUUCUGUAGGUGUCUACCUCCAUCAACCACAAGCACAUACUAAAAAACAAUGCAUAAAUUAAUACAUAUUGAAAACAAUGCACUACUUAACGUUUAAAAGUUUAAAAUGAAAUAAUAAACUAAAAUUAAUACCUGAUCAUAGAGAGCAUAUAGAAGGUUUUUGAUCUCCCUGGUUCUUCUCUCCACCUCCUCAUCACCUAAACCUUCUUGGUUAAAGGUGUAAGUCACAUUCUUUGACUUUUCCAUCGACAUCUUUCGUAGUUUCAAUCUUUUCAUACUCUAUAAAAUGGUCCCAAACAAAGUUUCGUUUUACACCUGAUGUAUAUUUGAUAACAAUAACCAAAUAACCAUAAAUAAUUAGUCCCAAAGUGAACCUUGGUGAGAUUUACUCACCUAAUUACUCCCCCUGCGUCUUCACAAAAACACAAGGAACAAGCUCACUAACAACUCCACAAGCUACCUAAUUAACACAAUUAAUAACCUUAGUAACCAUUCAAACUAAAAUGUAACACUUGCCCUCUUAACCCAAAACUUAAAUCGAGGGUUUGCCCAAAGAAGGACAACCUUCCAAGGUCGUUGAAUUUAACGACCCAAAACUGCUGCUUCUAAUUCUCAAACUUCCAAAGUUCACAACAUCCCAAAACACCUAUGAAUAACAUAGAACCUAGCAUGCAAUCCUUACUCAUAACCUAGAAUUUCCACAACUCAACAUGCUCACAACAACAAGAGUUAGCUAACCAAAGAAACUAAAGCUACAACACUACCGGACGUGCUGCCACGCACCACCACAGGCGGCGACGAGUGGGCCCCACGCGCCACCCCAUCAACUUCAAAACUGAGCAAGCUCCCAACAACAAACUUGUAGGUCACAUCAAAUGGAACACUUUUCAUACCUGUGGCCAAAGCCAAUUCGGCCGGAAACGUCGCCAGAAAGAAACAAGGAGCACUUUGAACUCAAAACUCCACGCUUUGAAUUGGGCUUCAAGGCUAGUAUCAUUAUGCUCAGAAUGACAAGAACUUCCAGAAAUAGGUAGCCUCAAACCUCGAUGUCGCCUGAAUCAGUAGUAACUUGCGGGCCUUGCUGCGCCGUGCAUAGUGCUUCAUAAGGUGUGAGGCUGGUAUGAAUAGAAAGAAGGGAGUGAGAGCUUUCCAACGAUACCAAGCACGCCUAAAUCCGUCGCCGGAUGGCCGAGUUAUGGCGAGGGUUUUUCUGCAAUUUCAGGGUUUCUAAAAAUAACCCACACAUUUUUCUAUUUAUACACCUUCUAAAAUCGGAAACUAACUUUCUCUGACCAUAACUUUUUCAUACAACAUCCAUUUUACGCGUGUCUCGUGUCUACGAACUCUACAACUUUCAUGAAGAAAGAUUUUGAAAAUAACUUACAGAUAAGAAAGUCAACUUUUGGCCUCUUAAAAGUCAAGGUACCUUAAUAAAAUUGACUCUCGAAACUUCAAUUUCACACAUACAAAACGAAAGGAAUUUCCCACAAAUAAUCCUUCAUUAAUUUUGGAAAUAAUACCGGGAAAAUAAUAUGAAAAUCUGGGGUAUUACAAGGAGGGUUAAGGCGGCCGCUUAGCGGCCCUUGGUUGGUCAAGACGGACCGUUGGAGGCCCCUUGACGGCCCUAGGUGUGCCAUGGCGCCCCUUUGGUUGCCCUAGGUGUGCCUAGCAAGGCCGAGGAAGGUCAAGGAGGGACAAAGGCAACCCCUUGGCGGUUGAAGGCAACCCCUUGGCGGCCCUAGGUAGGUUGAGGCGGCCCUUUGGCGGCCCUAGAUAGGUUAAGGCGGGCCUAGGCAUGUCAAGGCGACACCUUGGUUGCCCUAGACGGCUUAAGGUGGCACCUUGGCGGCUCUAGGUAGGUUAAGGCGGCCCUUUGGUGGCCCUAGACGGGUUAAGGCGAGCCUAGGCAAGUCAAGGUGGCCUCUUGGCUGCCCUAGGCGGGUCAAGACGGUACCUUGGCGGCCCCAGGCACUCCCUUGGCGACACUAGGCGGGCCUAGGAGGGCCAAGGAGGGUCAAGGUGGCCCCUUGGCGACCCUAGGCUGGUCAAGGAGGCCGCUACUGAAGAUGGCCCCUUGGCGGUCCUUGGUGGGUCAUGGCGCCCCUAGGUGUGCCUAGCAGGGCCAACGAGGGUCAAGGCGGGCGAAAAUGGGUCAAGGCGGCUCCUUGGUGACCCUAGACGGGCCUCGGAGGGUUAUGACGACCCAUUGGCGAGUUAUGACUGCUUCAAGGCGGCCCUUGAUGGGCCUAGGAGGGUCAAGGCAUCUGUUUAGCAGGUCAAGGCGGCCCCUUGACGCCCCUAGAUGGGUCAAGGUGGCCUAAGACGGCCCAAGGCAGCUCUUUGGCGACUCUAGGCAGCCCCUUGGCUGCCCUAGGCAAGCCUAGGAGGGCCAAAGAGGGUUAAGGCAGGUUAAGGCGGCCCAUUGGGGGCCCUAGUCAAGCCCAGGAGGAUCAAGGCGGCGCAUUGGCGGCCCUAGUCGGGCCUAGGCUGGUCAUGACGGCCCCUUGGUGGCCCUAGGCGGGUCUAGGCGGGUUAAGGCGGCCUCCUGGCGGCCCUAGGAGGGUCAAGGCGGUCCAAGACCUGUCAAGGAAGCCCAAGGCCGAUCUAGGAGGGUGAAGGCGGCCCCUUAGCAGGUCAAGUUGGCCACUUAGCGGCCCUUGGCAGCCUUAGGUGGGUCAUGGCUCCCAAUGUCGAGCCGAUAUUGUUAUAUGAUUUUUCAAAAUCAAUAUGAAGACCGAGAAUGCGACUUAAAUAUUGACCUUAUGUAAUGGAAAAAAUGUGUUUUCCAACAAAAACCUCUUAAGUUAUGAAUGUCUAACCUAAUAGGAGCCUACUCAUGAAUCUUCUCCAACUUUAAUUUUUUCGUCAAAAACUUGUUUUUCCUCAGAAACUGUGGGUUAUAGUACACAUUUUUCGGGUCAAAAACGCAUGUUCUAACUUUUUUCACAAAAAAUUUCUCACAUUUUAGUCCUGAUGUUUUGGCACUUCUCGAACUGACAGAACAAAAAAAUGUCGAGCCGAUUUUUUUAUAUGAUUUUUCAAAGUCAAUAUGAAGACCGAGAAUGCGACCCUUUAGCAUCCCUAGGAGGCCCCUUGGCGGGUCAUAGCGGCCCUAGGCGGGUCAAGACAGCCCCUUGGCGUCUUUAGGCGGGUCAUAGCAGCCCCUUGGUGGUCCUAGGCGGGUUAAGGCGGAACCUUGGCGGCCCUAGACGGGUCAAGGUGGCCCCUUGACUGCCAUUGGCGGGUCAUGGCGGCCCAUUGGCGUCCCUAAACGAGUCAAGGGGGGCCCUACAAGGGUCAUAGCGGUCCUUGGCGGGUCAAGGCGACCCUUAGACGUGUGAAGGCGGCCAGGCGGCCCCUUGGCGGGUCAAGGUGGCCAUAAGCGACCCUAGGUAGGUAAAGGCAGCUACUUUGCGGUCCUAGGCGGGUCAAGGUGGCCCUUUGGUCUCCCUAGGUCAAGAUGGCCGCCAAGGGGGGUCAUGGCGACCCAUUGGCGAGUCAUGGCGGCUUCUUGGUGGCCCUAGGCGGGCCUUGGAGGGUCAAGGAGGCCCUAAACGGGUCUAGGAAAGUCCAAGCGGCCCAAGGCAGGUCAAGCGGGCCUAAGGCAAGCCAUGGCCAGUCAAUGUGGGUCAAGGCGAACCAUGGCGGGAUAAGGCGGCCUCUUAGCGAAUCUAGACGAGUUAAGGCGGGCCAUUUCUGGACCUAGGAGAGCCAAGGCGGGUAAAGGCGGCCCAUUGCCGGCCCUAGACGAGCCUAAGAGGGUCAUGGUGAACCCUUGGCGAGUCGUGGUGGCCCCUUGGUGGCCCUAGGCGGGCCUAGGAGGGUCAAGGCGGCCCUAGGUGGGUCUAGGAGGGUCAAGGCAGCCCUUUAGCGAGUCAAGGCGGCCCUUCGGCUGCCUUUGACGGGUCAAGACGGCCCUUGGUGCCCCUAGAUGGGUCAAGACGGCCUCUUGGUGGCCCUAGGCGAGCCUAGGACGGCCUAGGAAGGUCAAGACGGCCAUAGGCGGGUCUAGGAGGGUCAUGGCGGCACUUUGGUGGCUCUAGCGGGUCAAGGCAAGCCAAGGCGGCCCCUUGGCGGCGUUAGACGGGUGAACGCAACCCCUUGGCGGCCCUAGCGGGGUUAAGGCGACCUCUUGGCGGCCCUAGGAAGGUUAAGGUGGGCUCUACGCGUCGCUUAGCGGCCCUAGGUAGAUAAAGGCGGGUCAAGGCUGCCGCUUGGCGAACUUAGGCAGGUCAACGAGGCCCCUAGGCGAGUCAAAGAAGUCAUGGCAGACCUAUGAGGGUCAUAGCGGCCCCUUGGUGGCCCUAGGCUAGGAGGGCUACGGCGGUCCUAAGCGGAUCAAAAAGGGUCAAGGCAUCCCUUUAGUGGCCUUAGACGGGUGAACAUGGCCACUUGACGGCCCUGGCGGGGUUAAGGCGGGUCAAUGGUCCAAGGCGGCACUAUGUGGGUCAAAGUGGGUUAAGGCGGCCCUAGACGGGUCAAGGCGGCCCCUUUGCAGCCCUAGACGAGCCUUGGAGGGUCAUGGCGGCACUUAGUGGGUCAAAGAAGGUUAAGGUGGGUCAAGGCGGUCUAAGGCGGGUCAAGGAGGCCGCCAGAUCAAGGCGGCUCAAGGUGGGUUAAGGCGGGUUAAGGCGGGUUAAGGCGGUCUUACACAGGUCUAGACGGCCCUAGACGGGUUAAGACGGCCUUUUGGCUAUCCUAGGAGGGUUAAGGCGGCCCCUUGGUGGCCCUAGGCGAGCCUAGGACGGCCUAGGAGGGUCAAGGCGGCCCCUUGGUUGGCCUAGGCAGCGUCUUGGCGGCCCUAGGCAGUCAAGGCGGCCCAAGGGGGGUUAUGGCGGGUUAAGACGGGUCAUGGCAGUCCAAGGCAUCUUAGCGGCCCAAGGCGGGUCAAGACGGCCAAUUGGCGGCCCUAGGCAAGUCAAGGGCCGCCAAUCCCUAAACCCUAAACCCUAAACCCUAAACCCUAAGCGAGCCUAGGAGGAUCAAGGUGGUCCCUUGGCGGCCCUAGACGGGCCUAGGAUGGUCAUGGCUACCUCUUGGCAAGUCAUGGCGUCCCCUUGGUGGCUCUAGGUGGGUCUCGACCGGCCCUAGGAAGGUUAAACAGCCUUAUGCGUGUAAAGACAGCCUCAUGGCGGGUCAAGAUGUCCCCUUAGCGGCCCAAGGCGUGUCAAGGCGGCCCCUUGACGGCCCCUUGAUGGGUCAACUCAGCCCUUGGCGGCCUAAGACGGGUGAACGCGGCCCUUUGGAGGCCCUAGAUGCGUCAAGGCAGCCUCUUGGUGCCCUUUGGUGGCCCUAGAUGCUUCAAGGCGACCCUAGAAGGGUCAAAGUGGCCCCAUGGCGGCCCUAAGCAUCCCUUUGGCAGGUCAAGACGUUCCCUUAGCGGCCAUAGGCAGGUCAAGACGGCCUCUUGGUGGGCCAUGGCGGGUCAAGUGGGGGCCAAAACAUGUGAAGAUGGUUGCCCUAGAUGGGUCAAGGCGACAUCUUGCCGGCCCUAAGAGAGUUAAGGCGGUCGGGCCAUAGCAAGUCAAAGCGGCCGCUCAGCAGCCCUAAAAUGGUCAAGACGGCCCGUUAGCGGCCCCUUGACGGCCCUAGGUGGGUCAUAGUGCCCCCUUGAUUGCCCUAGGUGUGCCUAACAGGGCCAACGAGGUCAAGGAGAGACAAAGCGGCCACUUGGCUACCCUAGGUAGGUCAAGGCGGCUACUUGGCGGCCCUAGGCAGUUCAAGGCAGCCCCUUGGAGGCCCUAGAUAGGUUAAGGCGGCCCUAGAUGGGUUAAGGCGGGCCUAGACAGGUCAAGGUAGCCCCUUGGCUGCCCUAGGCAGCUCAAGGCGGCACCUUGGCCACCCUAGAUAGGUUAAGGCAGCCCUAGGCAGGUUAAGGCAACCCUUUGGCUACCCUAGACGGGUUAAGCCGGGCCUAGGCAGGUCAAGGCGGCCUCUUGGCUGCCCUAGGUGGGUCAUGCCGGCACCUUGGCGGCACUAGGCGGGCCUAGGAGAGCCAAGGAGGGUCAAGGUGGCCCCUUAGCAGCCUUAGACGGGUGAAGGCGACCCAAGGCAGGUGAAGACGGCCCCUUGGCGGCCCUAGGUGUGUCAUGGCGCCCCCUAGGUGUGCCUAGCAGGGCCGAGGAGGGUCAAGGCGGGCCAAAGCGGGUCAAGGCUAGUCAAGGCGGCCCCUUGGCGGCCCUAGACGAGCCUCGGAGGGUCAUGGCCACCAUUUGGCGAGUCAUGGCGGCUUCAAGGCUACCCUAGGCGGGUAUAAGCACACCCAAAUGGAAAAAGCCGGAGGCCCAAAAAAAGUGAAACUGGGCAGAAACUUUUUUGGCUCGAAUUAGGUGAAACUUGAAGUGAGGGACAAUUCCUCAUAUUUUUUUUUUAAACUAAGGUUUCUGAUGUCAAUAUGAGAAGAAUUGAAGAGAACGUAAUCUUAGAAAGUCACUCAAUACCAAUUAAAACAGAAAUUUCAACAGCAUCACAAAACACGGCACGUGUGUGUUUAUUUAGUCCCAAUCGUGAGUAAAUUGAUAAAAGACACGCAUUUUUGAUAGCUAGAAUGGUUUACUAUAUGUUAGGAGGUGUCUGAACAGAAAAAGCCGGAUGCCCAAAAAAAGUUAAACUGGGCAGAAAUUCGUAUGCUAUGGCAAGAGGUUUUGGCUCGAAUUGGACGAAACUUGAAAUGAGAGACAAUACCUCAUUUUUUUUCGAAACUAAGGUUUCCGAUGUCAAUAUGAGAAGAAUUGAAAAGAACAUAAUCUUAAAAAGUCACUCAAUACCAAUUAAAACAGCAAUUUCAAAAGCUUUAUAAAACACGGCAGGCGUGAGUUAUUUAGGCCCGAUCGCGAGUAAAUUGGUAAAUGACACUGAUUUUUAAGGCUAGAAUGGUUAACUAUAUGUUAGGAGGUGUCUGUAACCACCCUUGAACAAAAAAGCCGGAGGCCCAAAAAAAGUGAAAUUGGGCAGAAUCUCGUGUGUUAUAGUGAGGGGUUUUGGCUCUAAAUGGGUGAAAUUUGAAAUGAGGGACAAUACCUCAUUUUCAUUUAAUAAUAAGGAUCCAGGUGUCAAUAUGAAAAAAUUGAAGAGAACGGAAUCUUGGAAAGUCACUCAAUACAAUUUAAAACUGUAAUUUCAACAACUUUACAAAACACGGCACGCGUGAGUUUAUUUAGGCCCGAUCGCGAGUAAAUUGAUAAAAGACGCGCAUUUUUUGAGCUAGAAUGGUUCACUAUAUAUUAGGAGGUGUUUGUAAGCACACCCGAACGGAAAAAGUCAAAGGCCUAAAAAAAUGUGAAACUGGGCAGAAACUCGUGUGCUAUAGCAAGGGGUUUUAGCUCGAAUUAGGUGAAACUUGAAAUGAGGGACAAUACCUCAUUUUCUUUUGAAACUAGGGUUUCCGAUGUCAAUAUGAAAAGAAUUGAAGAGAACAUAAUCUUAAAAAGUCACUCAAGACCAAUUAAAAUAGCAAUUUUAACAACUUUACAAAACACGGCAGAUAUGAGUUAUUUAGGCCCGAUCGCAAGUAAAUUCAUAAAAGAAAUAGAUUUUUGAAGGUAGAAUGGUUCAAUAUAUUAUAUAUGUUAGGAGGUGUCUAUAACCACACAUGAAAGGAAAAAGCCAGAGUCCCAAAAAAAGUGAAAUCGGGCAGAAUCUCGUGUGUUAUAGUGAGAGGUUUUGGCUCUAAUUGGGUGAAAUUUGAAAUGAGGGACAAUACCUCAUAUUCAUUUAAUAAUAAUUAAGGAUCCCGGUGUCAAUAUGUAACACCCUGACCUAGGUGUUAAAAAAAAUAAAUGAAUAAAAUAAAUAAGGGAAUCCUAAAUCGAUCUCAAAAUCAAACAAAAACAACAAACAAACAUUUUUGACGCGUUUGGAACCUAAAUUUUUAUUUUGUUAAUUUACGGCUGCACCCAACACUUAAUCGGGCUGCCUACGUACCCUUUUAAAGGGAUCAAGCCACUCGUAGUUCAACAUAAAACAAGGAAGCAUACUCAAACUCAAAAACAGUGUGCAAGAUGCCGUCUUUGACAUCAAUUUCUACCCACUCAACUCCAACCAAAAUUACUGAACCCUAGCCUAUUUUAAAGAUGGUACUACAGGCUUUAAAUACAUAGCUUGAGUUUUGAAAACAAAGCCCUGGAUAGAAAGUUAUGAUCUUGCAAAGUUGGAGCAAAAUCUGAAAAUCCAGAAAACUCAGUUUUGCUGAGUCUGCUAUUGUUUUUGACAAGCUAUUUGUCACACCAAAAUGUAACCAAAACCUAUGAAAUUUAUCACACACAAUGAUGGAUAUAUGAGAUUUACCAAGGUAUUUUCAGAUUUCAAAACAAAGGCCUGAGCUGAAAGAUAUCAUGCCUCAAAGUAGGCAAGAAAAUCAGCUUUUCUGCAGAAUUCUGAAAAUUUACAGCAAGAACAAGACUUGGUUUUGGAAGCUUUAAUUCGACUUUUGAAGUAACAAAAACAAGUUCUAAAGCUUCAGAACAGAAAGCAACAGACUUCCAGAACACAAAAAUCAUCUUAAAACAUAACAAACAAGGAAUCAAAAUGACCCAAAAAUUUACUCUAGACACCCAAACUCUGGACAGCAAAACAACAAGGUU